rnacentral:rRNA from 1 species
GACGAACGCUGGCGGCGUGCCUAAUACAUGCAAGUCGAGCGAAGUUUUUCUGGUUCUUGCACCGGAAAAACUUAGCGGCGACCGGGUGAGUAACACGUAAAGAACCUGCCUCAUAGACUGGGACAACUAUUGGAAACGAUAGCUAAUACCGGAUAACAGCAUUAGCUGCAUGGUUGAUGUUUAAAAGUUGGUUUUGCUAACACUAUGAGAUGGCUUUGCGGUGCAUUAGCUAGUUGGUGGGGUAAAGGCCUACCAAGGCGACGAUGCAUAGCCGACCUGAGGGGGGGUCAGGCCCCAUGGGGAUUGGACACGGUCCAGACUCCUACGGGGGGGAAGAGGGGGGAAUAUUGCCCAAUGGGGCGAAGGCCGGACGGGCCAAGGCGGGGGGGGGAAGAAAGGUUUUGGGUUGGAAAAGCCCUGUUGUUGGGAAAAAAGGUUGGUGGAGAAAAUAUACCCGGUAGGACGGGAACCAAACCAGAAAGCCAGGGCAAAUUAGGG